UCAACCAAGGGACGUGGGCCAACCUUGGUCUUGCAUUUGUACAAAGAUCUUUAUGGUCUGUUCCCACACCCACAACUCCAAAACUUCAACCAACUAUUCAUUUCAACAACUAUCCAACUAACUAUUCAUUUCUGGAAACUCAGCAACUAUCUUGCUAAAAGCUCAACUCAGGCCUUUGAAUUUCCACUUGACUUGGUUUGGAAUUAAAACCACUUGGCUUGGCUUGAAUUUGAUGACCACAUCCAAACACCAACACAGCCCAACCCUCAAAUCCCUAACUCCUGCAACUUUAGACUUUGAGAACUUGGUCACGUUUUGAAAAACAAUUGGUAUGGUUUCAGAUUGAUAGAAACCAUAGAUUCGCAUCGCCUAUUUGCUGAAAGCACAAAUAGAAUUGCUGAUCUGUAUUGCUUGAAUGAAGACACCCGAUCGGCCCGACUUUCCCAAAUGCCCACCACAGGCCCUGCUCAUUUCCGAGUCUAUUUUUUCAAGGGUGUGAUUUUGAUUCCUCCAUAUUAGUCCAAAUGGUUGAACUAAAAUGUUAGGCCCUCAUUGUUACUCUUUUAUUAAAUCUCAAUCUCUUUAAACCCAACAACAAAUUCAAGUGAGAGAAAUAUUGAAUAACGGAGGUGGAACUUACAGAGGCACGCAACAGAUCUGGGUAUGGGGCUUGGUCGAUGUCGAAAACCCAGGUAGGGUUGAGAGAUUUCGGGGCGAUCGGGAGGUGCGAUGGGCAAUCGGGAAAGGCAAUGGGUCUUCGUCGAUGAACAAGAACUUGCAGACGAAGGGGACGAACAAGAGAAGAGACUCAAUUCCAACUUUGACGAAGACGUUGGCCAAACGUUGGCCCAGAUCAACCCAGAGAGAGAGAGAAGAUGAGUUUUUUUUUUUUUUUUCCCAUUUAUUUUAUGUUUUAUGUGGAGUCCACGUCAAUUAAAAAAAGGAUCCCACAAAUGUCACGUAGGCAGAUAACGGAUUUUCUGAAGAUCUCGUUAACGGAGGGGACAAAUUGUAGGUUUUUCGCGACGUUGAGUAUGUACUCAUAAAUGUCCCCAAAAUCGGGUAUGCA